GAGCGUUCUGUAAGCCUGUGAAGGUGUGUCGUGAGGCAUGCUGGAGGUAUCAGAAGUGCGAAUGCUGACAUAAGUAACGAUAAAGCGGGUGAAAAGCCCGCUCGCCGGAAGACCAAGGGUUCCUGUCCAACGUUAAUCGGGGCAGGGUGAGUCGACCCCUAAGGCGAGGCCGAAAGGCGUAGUCGAUGGGAAACGGGUUAAUAUUCCCGUACUUGGUGUUACUGCGAAGGGGGGACGGAGAAGGCUAUGUUGGCCGGGCGACGGUUGUCCCGGUUUAAGCGUGUAGGUGUGUGUUCCAGGUAAAUCCGGUUCACUUUAACACUGAGGCGUGACGACGAGGCACUACGGUGCUGAAGCAACAAAUGCCCUGCUUCCAGGAAAAGCCUCUAAGCAUCAGGUAACACGAAAUCGUACCCCAAACCGACACAGGUGGUCAGGUAGAGAAUACCAAGGCGCUUGAGAGAACUCGGGUGAAGGAACUAGGCAAAAUGGUGCCGUAACUUCGGGAGAAGGCACGCUGACACGUAGGUGAAGUGAUUUACUCAUGGAGCUGAAGUCAGUCGAAGAUACCAGCUGGCUGCAACUGUUUAUUAAAAACACAGCACUGUGCAAACACGAAAGUGGACGUAUACGGUGUGACGCCUGCCCGGUGCCGGAAGGUUAAUUGAUGGGGUCAGCGUAAGCGAAGCUCCUGAUCGAAGCCCCGGUAAACGGCGGCCGUAACUAUAACGGUCCUAAGGUAGCGAAAUUCCUUGUCGGGUAAGUUCCGACCUGCACGAAUGGCGUAAUGAUGGCCAGGCUGUCUCCACCCGAGACUCAGUGAAAUUGAACUCGCUGUGAAGAUGCAGUGUACCCGCGGCAAGACGGAAAGACCCCGUGAACCUUUACUAUAGCUUGACACUGAACAUUGAGCCUUGAUGUGUAGGAUAGGUGGGAGGCUUUGAAGUGUGGACGCCAGUCUGCAUGGAGCCGACCUUGAAAUACCACCCUUUAAUGUUUGAUGUUCUAACGUGGACCCGUAAUCCGGGUUGCGGACAGUGUCUGGUGGGUAGUUUGACUGGGGCGGUCUCCUCCUAAAGAGUAACGGAGGAGCACGAAGGUUGGCUAAUCCUGGUCGGACAUCAGGAGGUUAGUGCAAUGGCAUAAGCCAGCUUGACUGCGAGCGUGACGGCGCGAGCAGGUGCGAAAGCAGGUCAUAGUGAUCCGGUGGUUCUGAAUGGAAGGGCCAUCGCUCAACGGAUAAAAGGUACUCCGGGGAUAACAGGCUGAUACCGCCCAAGAGUUCAUAUCGACGGCGGUGUUUGGCACCUCGAUGUCGGCUCAUCACAUCCUGGGGCUGAAGUAGGUCCCAAGGGUAUGGCUGUUCGCCAUUUAAAGUGGUACGCGAGCUGGGUUUAGAACGUCGUGAGACAGUUCGGUCCCUAUCUGCCGUGGGCGCUGGAGAACUGAGGGGGGCUGCUCCUAGUACGAGAGGACCGGAGUGGACGCAUCACUGGUGUUCGGGUUGUCAUGCCAAUGGCACUGCCCGGUAGCUAAAUGCGGAAGAGAUAAGUGCUGAAAGCAUCUAAGCACGAAACUUGCCCCGA
rnacentral:rRNA from 1 species